rnacentral:rRNA from 1 species
UGGGGAAUAUUGCACAAUGGGCGCAAGCCUGAUGCAGCCAUGCCGCGUGUAUGAAGAAGGCCUUCGGGUUGUAAAGUACUUUCAGCGGGGAGGAAGGCGAUAAGGUUAAUAACCUUGUCGAUUGACGUUACCCGCAGAAGAAGCACCGGCUAACUCCGUGCCAGCAGCCGCGGUAAUACGGAGGGUGCAAGCGUUAAUCGGAAUUACUGGGCGUAAAGCGCACGCGGGCGGGCUGUCAAGUCGGAUGUGAAAUCCCCGGGCUCAACCGGGGAACUGCAUUCGAAACUGGCAGGCUAGAGUCUUGUAGAGGGGGGUAGAAUUCCAGGUGUAGCGGUGAAAUGCGUAGAGAUCUGGAGGAAUACCGGUGGCGAAGGCGGCCCCCUGGACAAAGACUGACGCUCAGGUGCGAAAGCGUGGGGAGCAAACA